rnacentral:rRNA from 1 species
GGGGAUAACGCAGCGAAAGUUGUGCUAAUACCGCAUACGCCCUGAGGGGGAAAGUGGGGGACCGCAAGGCCUCACGUUAUUCGAGCGGCCGACGUCUGAUUAGCUAGUUGGUGGGGUAAAGGCCUACCAAGGCGACGAUCAGUAGCGGGUCUGAGAGGAUGAUCCGCCACACUGGGACUGAGACACGGCCCAGACUCCUACGGGAGGCAGCAGUGGGGAAUUUUGGACAAUGGGGGCAACCCUGAUCCAGCCAUUCCACGUGAGCGAAGAAGGCCUUCGGGUUGUAAAGCUCUUUCAGCUGGAACGAAACGGUACGCGCUAACAUCGUGUGCUAAUGACGGUACCGGCAGAAGAAGCACCGGCUAACUACGUGCCAGCAGCCGCGGUAAUACGUAGGGUGCGAGCGUUAAUCGGAAUUACUGGGCGUAAAGCGUGCGCAGGCGGAUUGUUAAGCAAGACGUGAAAUCCCCGGGCUUAACCUGGGAAUGGCGUUUUGAACUGGCAGUCUAGAGUGCGUCAGAGGGGGGGUGGAAUUCCACGUGUAGCAGUGAAAUGCGUAGAGAUGUGG